UAGGGAAUCUUCCACAAUGGACGCAAGUCUGAUGGAGCAACGCCGCGUGAGUGAAGAAGGUUUUCGGAUCGUAAAGCUCUGUUGUUGGUGAAGAAGGAUAGAGGCAGUAACUGGUCUUUAUUUGACGGUAAUCAACCAGAAAGUCACGGCUAACUACGUGCCAGCAGCCGCGGUAAUACGUAGGUGGCAAGCGUUGUCCGGAUUUAUUGGGCGUAAAGCGAGCGCAGGCGGAAUGAUAAGUCUGAUGUGAAAGCCCACGGCUCAACCGUGGAACUGCAUCGGAAACUGUCAUUCUUGAGUGCAGAAGAGGAGAGUGGAAUUCCAUGUGUAGCGGUGGAAUGCGUAGAUAUAUGGAAGAACACCAGUGGCGAAGGCGGCUCUCAAGUCUGCAACUGACGCUGAGGCUCGAAAGCAUGGGUAGCGAACAGG
rnacentral:rRNA from 1 species